CCCUGGUCCGCCGUACCAGCCGCCAGCACCUUCGCCGAGGCCCCCACCUCGGCGCCCCUCGGGACGGCCUCCACCUGCGUACACGCCUCCACCUCCCUCGGCGAGACCACUACCACCUCCUCCUUCGCCGAGACCACCUCCAGGACCACCUCCUGUUACCCGACCUCCG